UAGGGAAUCUUCCACAAUGGACGCAAGUCUGACGGAGCAACGCCGCGUGAGUGAAGAAGGCUUUCGGGUCGUAAAACUCUGUUAUUGAAGAAGAACGUGUGUGACAGUAACUGGUCAUGCAGUGACGGUAUUCAAUCAGAAAGUCACGGCUAACUACGUGCCAGCAGCCGCGGUAAUACGUAGGUGGCAAGCGUUGUCCGGAUUUAUUGGGCGUAAAGCGAGUGCAGGCGGUCUUUUAAGUCUGAUGUGAAAGCCUUCGGCUUAACCGAAGAAGGGCAUCGGAAACUGGGAGACUUGAGUGCAGAAGAGGAGAGUGGAACUCCAUGUGUAGCGGUGAAAUGCGUAGAUAUAUGGAAGAACACCAGUGGCGAAGGCGGCUCUCUGGUCUGUAACUGACACUGAGGCUCGAAAGCGUGGGUAGCAAA
rnacentral:rRNA from 1 species